CUGCUUGGUACCCUCUCAGGAGCGUUCAGUAGAGAAGAACUUCUCUAAAAUGAGCAGGCUCAUUUAUCUCUAAAACCUGUAUCACCUCUCCUGCCUCCCACUCCUUCCCACCCCUCAGCUUAUCUUUGCAGGAUUAGUGACAGGUCUCUACACAAUGCCCUUCCUGGCUUCUUUUCUCCAUACACCCCUGUGAGGUGGGGUAAGGGUCAUCCUCUGAAAUGCUUUUUUAUUCCCUGCUUUGUGCUAGCCACUGUCCCCAGAAUGCACCUUGUAUAGUGGUUGGAUUUCACAAACUAAUAUUAUAGUCCUUGAAAGCUGGAGCUCCAAGUUAGCAUGUUGGAUCCUGAGGAAUAAUGUGGUAGGUGGCAGACAUCACCUUGUACUGUGUGAACUAAUAUGAAAGGACAUGUCCUGAGCUUUUUCCAGGUAAACUGGAACUGUAAUGAAUGAAUCACCAGUUCAGGUGAGACAAACCUCUUUGAGAACACAUGCUUGUCCCUGAAAUUUGCACAGGUACUCCUGUGACGUGCUUCCCAGUUGGUUGCUUUCUGUUUGGUUUCUUCUGGUUUUCAGAACAAUAAAGAAGAUUAGGCUUAGGAAAAACUACAUCAGUCAUUCCUGUAGUUUCUCAGGAUUCUUGUGAUCAUUCCUACAGGCUCUUGUUCAGUUUAGCAGCAGUGUAUGACUUUGGAUCAAAAUCCACCUGAUGUUUUAGAGUGCAACUCUGAGAAGGGUCUUAUAAAACAAGAAGGAAAUCUGACUACUCAGUUCAUAUAGGACUGACUUUACAGCACUGGUUCAGGAAAUGGAAGUGCUGCAGCCACAUGAGUGUUCAAUAGAUUGCAUUUUCAGCUCUCAUCCAUCUUCUCAGCCUUCUAGGGUUAUGAUUUUGACAGUAGGCUGUCUAGUUGGGAUGGUUAGAGUUGAGCCUGCACAUCUUUCCACUUACCAAGUGCACCAGUGGAAGCCAAAGAAAGAACAAAAAAAAAAAAAGAGAGCCAAGAGAUGCGCAGCCAGUCACUGCAGAUAAUUUUCCUAACUUAGUUAAUGCUCUGAGACUUAACUGUAAAGAUUUUAGUAGUGCAAGAGGAACACCAUAGAGGAGGGGAUCUAUUCUGUUAUCUUCUCUCUAUGACAGUUAUUUUUCUCUGUCUUAAAGAAGUUUCCAUGCUGAUGUUGUUUUUUGUGGUCCUUCGUAUUGCUGAUAGCCUUCCUAAUGGGUAUUCCUUGCUCACCUCUUGCUUCUGGCAUUUCACUUUUGUCCCUUCCCUGUUUCUCUGUUUCCUAUGACUGUGUUAGUAGGGCUAAUGUCUGGGAGCCUGUAUUGUCCAGUGGCUGUUACUUCCCACAGAACCUCUGUUCAUGUGUUUUCAGAUCUUUGUCUAUGCCGUAGCUGCUGUUAUUCUUUCCCUGUCUGCUGUACUGAAGUCUACUCAAUGAAUUUAAGCUUAUGUUAGACCUGUGAAUGUCCUGAGGAGGGAGGGUAGAAAUGUAUUAGUGAAGAAAGUCCUCAUAGUAGCAGGAAAAAAUAUCAUGGAACAAGAGUAUAAACCUUGCCUUUUAGUUCUUAAAGCAAGAAACAAAUAAAAAUCUCCUGUACAAUGACAUUUUACAUUGUGUAACAGUUCCUGGGUUCCUUCCUUUCAGAAUUCCUCAAGAGAAAAUGAGUGUGAGUUUAGUCCAGCAUCUCUUACCGUGGACUUCAACCAAGUGAAUUUCUGUAAGGAAUUCCCAGAUUGUUUCAUUCACAUUGGUCACAUCAAAUCAAAAGCUUCAAGGAUUACAUCGUUACUAGUUUUCCUUUAAGAAUCGUGUUUGGUGUUUUCCAGUAGAUGAGAGUGGGAAUUAGAAUGACCGUAAAGCUGUAGGUCACCCAUGAUUUUGAUUGAGGCUGUCUUUCCCCAUCACGAAUUCCCACCCAUACAGCUGGGCUGCACAGCUUUCAGAGCUGGGCUGUGAGAUGGGAGCUCACCUCCAAGUCAGCCUGUAUUGGGAUUGCUUUGAAACCUGCCAGGCAUUAGGUUGGUCAGUCUGGAGGCAUCUUUCAGCCUCAGCUGUUGGGUGUGCAGAGGGUGUGCAUGGAGAGAGCUUGUGGUUUUGUUCUUGCUGCUGUUUCUUACAGCGGGACCUGUUGUGCCUAACCCUGAACAAAGAAGAGCAACCGGUCAGGCUGAGUGUGCAGGGCAGCUACUGCAGCAAAUAGACCAAAUGGUAGACAAAGGAGACAUGGAGUUGGAAGGAAGAGGUCUCUCAGGGUUCUGGAGAAGGUACUAAUACUGUGGCUAUGAGCAGAUGCAAGCUGGCUGUGUCUGAGACUGUGUCAGAGACUAUGCCUGACUUUGGCAGUUCAGGUGAUUCUGCCUUAUCUUCAAGAAUGGAUCCCUCCUUCCUGUAGUUAUACCGAAGUCUCCCAAGGCAAAGGAAUGUGCAGGGGUGUCCUUUUGUCUUGUGUUAAGGUGCAACAUCCCCAGUAAAUAUUCCUCUUCUGAGCUUUUGGGGGACUUUUUUGAGCUUUCUGACUCUUCUGAGUCUUUGGGGAAAAAGAAAGCCCUCCCAUGAGUAUUACUGACCACAGCCACAGCCCCAGUACAAUGCGGCUUUUAUCAGAUGAGUGCCAUCUCCAGCCCCAUUUCUAAAGGACUUAACCACUCCGCCUUCUAACAGGGCCUUCCCAGGGUGGAUCUUCAGCCCCGUUAAGCAUAAUCUUGACACCACUACAGCAUCUUUUUGGUGGGAAGAACUGACCUGGAAGUACUAAGCUGUGGAAAAGUAAACUUGCAGCGUGACUGUUGGGUUGGAUUGUUUCCUGUGUUGUUCAGCUUUUCAGAUUACUUGUCUCAGCUUUGAAAUGCUUUAAAUGAAGUUCUACCUUUUUUAAGUUUCAAAUUAACAUACUGGAGAUGUUGGGUUAAAGUGUCUUUUUCUUCGCAACCUGGAGUGUUUUGGGAAAAAAGCAACAUGCUUUAAGAUUCUGAUCCUUGAGUGUCAUAAAUUGGGACUUUUGCAAUUUAAAAUUCUGUGAGAUCCUAAUAAAAAUCAACUAGCAUCA